GAUGAACGCUGGCGGCGUGCCUAAUACAUGCAAGUCGAGCGAACGGACGAGAAGCUUGCUUUUUUGAUGUUAGCGGCGGACGGGUGAGUAACACGUGGAUAACCUACCUAUAAGACUGGGAUAACUUCGGGAAACCGGAGCUAAUACCGGAUAAUAUUUUGAACCGCAUGGUUCAAAAGUGAAAGACGGUCUUGCUGUCACUUAUAGAUGGAUCCGCGCUGCAUUAGCUAGUUGGUAAGGUAACGGCUUACCAAGGCAACGAUGCAUAGCCGACCUGAGAGGGUGAUCGGCCACACUGGAACUGAGACACGGUCCAGACUCCUACGGGAGGCAGCAGUAGGGAAUCUUCCGCAAUGGGCGAAAGCCUGACGGAGCAACGCCGCGUGAGUGAUGAAGGUCUUCGGAUCGUAAAACUCUGUUAUUAGGGAAGAACAUAUGUGUAAGUAACUGUGCACAUCUUGACGGUACCUAAUCAGAAAGCCACGGCUAACUACGUG
rnacentral:rRNA from 1 species